AAGUGCAAUUGUGACCACUUACCAUUAAAAUUUACUGUUUCUAUUUUAUCUGCUGCCAUAACUUUUGAGACAAUGCUGCAUGAGUUAGAUCUGUUACUUUUCUUAUUGCAAGCUUGACACAAUGGUCCUUUGGAGCCUAAUGCCAUAGCGUUUAAAGUUAUAUCAUGGAUUAAAAUUGCACAUUCAUCACCAUAAACUGUUCAAGCUUUCUCUAGCCCCUUCUUAAUGGACUCUUGACAUCUGGGAAGGACUGUUUGAUAAUUUCAAUUCUCUAUCUCAUUCUAAAAUGUUUUGCACUCGCUGCGAACUUGCUUGCAGCACCUCGGCCUCUGUCUUGCCAUCUACCACAACCGCCCGUGGAGACGAAGAAAUGGCUGAUGACAGACAAGCGAGUGGACGUGAUUCCAACCACGAUACCAUUGCCCAGAAAGGCCAGUGGUGAAGAUGCUUGGAUUGACAAAGAUGGAAACUGAGAUGAAAUUGCUGACAUGAAAGGGCGGAAGGUCGAAGGUCGAUGAAUCUGAAUCAGAUGCAGAUAAUGGGGAAAUUGAUGAGUCCCGGAUUGAUGCUUCAAUCAUAUGCUUGGUUUUGUCAUUUCGGGUGUGGAAAGGCACAGAAUUGAGGUAUGAUGAUCUGGUCCACCAUCCCUCAUAAUAUAAGGUACCUCUUUUGUUUGUUUCCAACAAAAUGAUUGCUGUUCAUUACCCACAAAAAAGAAAAAGAAAAUGAACAGAAAGUAGAGUGUUUAGUCAGUUUCAAGUGGUGGUGUGAUUUGAUGAUCUGAAGCAGACCCUUUACAGAGCUUCUUUUGACUGCUAGUUUAGGGUACACCGAGAAAUUCAAGAAUUUGAAUGCAUCUGCCAUUUGGCCCAUUUCAUUCUUCGUGGUCA